rnacentral:tRNA from 1 species
GACUGCAUGGCUUAAUGGAUUAGCGCGUUUGAAUUUGGGUCAAAAGGUUGAGGGUUCGACUCCCAUUGUGAUUG